GUACACUCCUGCGGGAGGCAGCAGUGGGGAAUAUUGGACAAUGGGCGCAAGCCUGAUCCAGCCAUGCCGCGUGAGUGAUGAAGGCCCUAGGGUUGUAAAGCUCUUUCACCGGUGAAGAUAAUGACGGUAACCGGAGAAGAAGCCCCGGCUAACUUCGUGCCAGCAGCCGCGGUAAUACGAAGGGGGCUAGCGUUGUUCGGAUUUACUGGGCGUAAAGCGCACGUAGGCGGACUAUUAAGUCAGGGGUGAAAUCCCGGGGCUCAACCCCGGAACUGCCUUUGAUACUGGUAGUCUUGAGUUCGAGAGAGGUGAGUGGAAUUCCGAGUGUAGAGGUGAAAUUCGUAGAUAUUCGGAGGAACACCAGUGGCGUAGGCGGCUCACUGGCUCGAUACUGACGCUGAGGUGCGAAAGCGUGGGGAGCAAACAGGAUUAGAUACCCCGGUAGUCCCAUG
rnacentral:rRNA from 1 species